rnacentral:lncRNA from 10 species
ACAAACACAAAGGUUAAGAAGAGAGGCACCCAAUAUAUGUUCUCUAGGUCUCUUAGAAAAUAUAGAGUUGUGGUUGUUUCUUUGGCCAUGUAUAUGCGAAUCUAUAAGAAAGGUGAUAUUGUAGACAUCAGGGGAAUGGGUACUGUUCAAAAAGGAAUGCCCCACAAGUGUUACCACGGCUAAACUGGAAGAGUCUACAGUGUCCCCCAGCACGCUGUUGGCAUUGUUGUAAACAAACAAGGGCAAGAUUCUUGCCAAGAGAAUUAAUGUGUGUAUUCAGCACAUUAAGCACUCACUCUCUAAAAGCCAAGAUAGCUUCCUGAAACAUGUGAAGGAAAAAUGAUCAGAAAAAGAAAGAAGCCAAAGAGAAAGGCAUCUGGGUUCACCUGAAGCAGCAGCCUCUACCCAGAGAAGCACACUUUGUGAGAACCAAUGGGAAGGAGCCUGAACUGCUGGAACCUCUUCCCUACAAAUUCACAGCAUAA